GGUGCCACGAAGGCCACCUUUGGAAUCAGAUGAGCACUCGAGGUGCUAUGAGGGAUGACAGCAACAGCAUCUCUGGGACGAGCAGGUGCUGAAGAGGAACCGUGUGACCGGAACAUCCCUGUCAGCUGAUGCAAUUUGCUCAAUGACCACGGCUUCAGAUCCCA